rnacentral:rRNA from 1 species
AUUGAACGCUGGCGGCAGGCCUAACACAUGCAAGUCGAACGGUAACAGGGAUCAGCUUGCUGAUUCGCUGACGAGUGGCGGACGGGUGAGUAAUGUCUGGGAAACUGCCUGAUGGAGGGGGAUAACUACUGGAAACGGUAGCUAAUACCGCAUAACGUCGCAAGCCCAAAGAGGGGGACCUUCGGGCCUCUUGCCAUCGGAUGUGCCCAGAUGGGAUUAGCUAGUAGGUGGGGUAACGGCUCACCUAGGCGACGAUCCCUAGCUGGUCGGAGAGGAUGACCAGCCACACUGGAACUGAGACACGGUCCAGACUCCUACGGGAGGCAGCAGUGGGGAAUAUUGCACAAUGGGCGCAAGCCUGAUGCAGCCAUGCCGCGUGUAUGAAGAAGGCCUUCGGGUUGUAAAGUACUUUCAGCGGGGAGGAAGGGAGUAAAGUUAAUACCUUUGCUCAUUGACGUUACCCGCAGAAGAAGCACCGGCUAACUCCGUG